CUCAGGGGCUGUGGGGAAUAACCUCUGGAAACACAUACUCUAUUAUGCUAAUGCUGGACUACAGUCAUCCUGAAAGAAGGGAUUAAAGGCAAAUUAAAUAUUAUCUGAAGGAAACAAAACCAUUUCAACUUUUAUUUUCUACCUCAUCUACAGAAGAAAAACUAACACUGAAUAAAUCUCCAAAAUUUCAUCACCUAAGUGAAGUUUUCUCUUUUCAAUAGCACGUCAUGGAGUCAUCUUCUGGACCCUCUGAAUCCAGUUCCCUUCAUGGAAAAGACAGACCGAUCCACUCACUUUCUAUUUGGUGAGACCUGGUACCAUGGCUCACCUAGUUGAAAGAAAAGAACAAUUCUUCCAAGGAUCGUGACCAAUCAUGCCAGCUAUAUCUCAAAAGAAAACCAGUUGUUAUAAUUGUAUCGAACUUCAAAUUAAAAGAAAGUAAA
rnacentral:lncRNA from 1 species